UAUUGCUCUUGAACGAGGAAUCCCUAGUAAGCACAAGUCAUUAGCUUGUGCUGAUUACGUCCCUGCCCUUUGUACACACCGCCCGUCGCUACUACCGAUUGAAUGGCUUAGUGAGGCCUUCGGAUUGAGGUUUGGAGACUGGCAACAGACUCCGGAUUUUAAGAAGUUGGUCAAACUUGGUCAUUUAGAGGAAGUAAAAGUCGUAACAAGGUUUCCGUAGGUGAACCUGCGGAAGGAUCAUUACCAAUUUUAGCGAACCUGAUCUUUUUUUGAUCAUGGUCUCGCGAAAAUCGUAUUUAAAACCCCCACUCUUGUAAGAAUCAUUUUUUUUUUGUGUAUAAAAAAAUAAAAAAGAUCACUUUCAACAACGGAUCUCUUGGCUCUCGCAUUGGAAAGGAUGCGUAGCGGAAAGUCCGAUAAGGUAUGGAAUGCAGAAUUCCUGAUCAUUGAAUUCUUGACGCAAUGGCACUCUUCUGCAUCGGAAGGAGUAUGCUGAUGAAGGGUCAGUAUAAUCAAAAUCGGAGCGAUGCCUUUUGGGUGACGCACCCGGAGUUUGGGUCAUCUUAACUCUUUUUUAAGAGACCUAAAAUAACAUUUUUUUUUGCUCACUUGAGACGUACAUAAUUUUUUUUAUUCGUCUACCUGGUGGCAAAAAUUUUAUUAGAUCGUGAAUCACGUAGAGUGGACUCGCGUCUAUAAUUAUCAUGAUUUGACCUCAAAUCAGGUAAGAAUACCCGCUGAACUUAAGCAUAUCAAUAAGCGGAGGAAAAGAAAAUAACAAUGAUUCCCCUAGUAACUGCGAGUGAAGAGGGACAAGCUCAAAUUUUAAAUCCGUCGGGUUACACCUGACCGAGUUGUAAUUUGAAGAGGCGUUUUCCGCGUUUUUGAUCAGUCCAAGUCCUUUGGGAUAGGGCAUCAUGGAGGGUGAGAAUCCCGUUCGGCUGAUCAGAUUCGCUUUACGAUACGUCAUCUAAGAGUCAAGUUGUUUGGGAAUGCAGCUUAAAAUGGGAGGUAAAUUUCUCCUAAGGCUAAAUAACGGCGAGAGACCGAUAGCGAACAAGUACCGUGAGGGAAAGAUGAAAAGAACUUUGAAAAGAGAGUUAAACAGUACGUGAAAUUGUUGAAAGGGAAACGAUUGAAGCCAGUCGUACCGGUGGGUAAUCAGCCUUUCGGCGUGAUUAUGUGGAGCGUGAGGAGUUAAACGCCCUCAUGGCCUGAAUAUUCGUGUUCUUUGGGUGUACUUACCCGCAUGGUAGGUUAACAUCAAUUUCGAACGUCAUAAAAUGGUUGGAGGAAUGUAGCUUCGAUCUCGUAUUGAAGUGUUAUAGACUCCGGCAGAUGUGAUGAUCGGGAUUGAGGAUUGCAACGGAUACCCUUCGGGGCUACCCGUCUGAUCUCUGAAAGUUGCUCUGGUGCCGAAAGCUCGCUUACGGUCAUCAAAGUUGACGUUCAACAGGUUAGAACGGGAUAAAUUCGUUAAGGAUGUUGACGUAAUGGCUUUAAACGACCCGUCUUGAAACACGGACCAAGGAGUCUAACAUAUAUGCGAGUGUUC
rnacentral:rRNA from 1 species